rnacentral:rRNA from 1 species
AGAGUUUGAUCAUGGCUCAGAUUGAACGCUGGCGGAAUGCUUUACACAUGCAAGUCGAACGGCAGCACGGGUGCUUGCACCUGGUGGCGAGUGGCGAACGGGUGAGUAAUGCGUCGGAACGUACCGAGUAAUGGGGGAUAACGCGGCGAAAGUCGCGCUAAUACCGCAUACGCCCUGAGGGGGAAAGUGGGGGAUCGCAAGACCCCACGUUAUUCGAGCGGCCGACGUCUGAUUAGCUAGUUGGUGGGGUAAUGGCCUACCAAGGCGACGAUCAGUAGCGGGUCUGAGAGGAUGAUCCGCCACACUGGGACUGAGACACGGCCCAGACUCCUACGGGAGGCAGCAGUGGGGAAUUUUGGACAAUGGGGGCAACCCUGAUCCAGCCAUUCCGCGUGAGUGAAGAAGGCCUUCGGGUUGUAAAGCUCUUUCAGCUGGAACGAAACGGUACAGGUUAAUACCCUGUGCUAAUGACGGUACCGGCAGAAGAAGCACCGGCUAACUACGUGCCAGCAGCCGCGGUAAUACGUAGGGUGCGAGCGUUAAUCGGAAUUACUGGGCGUAAAGCGUGCGCAGGCGGAUUGUUAAGCAAGAUGUGAAAUCCCCGGGCUUAACCUGGGAAUGGCAUUUUGAACUGGCAGUCUAGAGUGCGUCAGAGGGGGGUGGAAUUCCACGUGUAGCAGUGAAAUGCGUAGAGAUGUGGAGGAACACCAAUGGCGAAGGCAGCCCCCUGGGAUGACACUGACGCUCAUGUACGAAAGCGUGGGUAGCAAACAGGAUUAGAUACCCUGGUAGUCCACGCCCUAAACGAUGUCAACUGGUUGUUGGGGGAGUGAAAUCCCUUAGUAACGAAGCUAACGCGUGAAGUUGACCGCCUGGGGAGUACGGUCGCAAGAUUAAAACUCAAA